ACAUGCAAGUCGAGCGAUGAUUCGCUCCUCGGAGGCGUUGAUUAGCGGCGGACGGGUGAGUAACACGUGGGUAACCUGCCUCAAAGAGGGGAAUAGCCUCCCGAAGAGGGAGAUUAAUACCGCAUAAUAUGUUUUAAUCGCAUGAUUGAGACAUCAAAGGAUUUUCUUCGGAACUUCCACUUUGAGAUGGACCCGCGGCGCAUUAGCUAGUUGGUGAGGUAACGGCCCACCAAUGCAACGAUGCGUAGCCGACCUGAGAGGGUGAUCGGACACAUUGGAACUGAGACACGGUCCAGACUCCUACGGGAGGCAGCAGUGGGGAAUAUUGCGCAAUGGGGGAAACCCUGACGCAGCAACGCCGCGUGAAUGAUGAAGGCCUUCGGGUUGUAAAGUUCUGUCUUCGGGGACGAUAAUGACGGUACCCGAGGAGGAAGCCACGGAUAACUACGUGCCAGCAGGCGCGGUAAUACGUAAGUGGCAAGCGUUGUACGGAUUUACUGGGCGUAAAGGAUGCGUAGGCGGACAUUUAAGUCAGAUGUGAAAUACCCGAGCUUAACUUGGGUGCUGCAUUUGAAACUGGGUGUCUAGAGUGCAAGAG
rnacentral:rRNA from 1 species